GGCCUGCUGGGGGAGGGGGCCGCGGGGGGCGGGGGAGCUCACCUCCGCCGUUCUUGUAGCACAGGCUGCAGCCGUCUCCUCCCGGUGCUCGCUCCUUCCUUGAGCUCUGUCCACCGCUGCCCACUGGGGGCUAGAGCUUCCCGGCUACCCUGGAAGCUGGAGGCUGGGACCAGCUCUUCAGGUGACAGGCCUCUGUGUCCCACAGUGGCCAGAGGGAGCCUGCCUGACUGAUGAGCAAGGCUCCACUUUGUCACCAAGGCAGAGAAGGGGCCCGGCUCCCUGAUCUGAUCGUGGACACUGCAGUCCCCAGAUGGCUCAUCCCAUUAAGCUAAGCCCUCGGCCAUCCCUCCAGCUUUAGGAAGAAAAGCAGUUCUGGCUCAAGCCAGACUGAGCUUCCUGGGGUCUUCUCUGGCCCAGCCUUUGACUGAAGCUGGUCUGGAGACAGGGGCGUUAGAGAAGUGACUCAUAGAUGGCCUAAAGAAGCGGGGCCACUCAAGGACCCAGGACAGAGGGAAGAGGGCCAACCCAGCUGGACCGCAGGCAAACCCCAUGGCCUUUGAGAGAAGAGAGAAGAGGACCCGGUGAAGUAGGCUCCGAGGGCCUCAGCCCAGCAGGAGCGCAGGGAGCUGCACCAGGAACUCACAGAGGAUCAGGGAGAAUUCUGAGAACAUGCUACUGUGGUGCUGCCUAGAGAGGAAGGAUAAAUGAUGACAAGUACAUCUCUGAGUAAUGUAUGGGCACUUGUUCAUGAAAACUGUUUUUCUGAAAGCUUGUGAAGGUCUUGAAAUACUCGCUAUCAGUUGAGGACAAACAUUUACACCCUCCUUCCACAGGGAGUUCAAGCAGGCUGGAUGGGUCCAUCUAUGGAUGAUCUUCCCCAGCCCCUUCCUCUUCCCAGCUCAUCCCUGGCUCUCUGUGUGAACAGUUCUCAUCAGUGGAAUGUGGUUGAUGAAGUGAGGUCUUCAAUUUUCUCAUCUACUGUGUGGUCAUGUUAUUUUCCUCAUCUGAGGCUUAAAAACUCACCUGCAUGCAGCACAUGACAGCUUAAAAUCUCUUGUGAACAAAACAGUAACAAAGACACCCACCAGCGUUGAGCAUCCCGUGUUGAUGACAGCGACCACCAGGGGUCAACGUCCUCUUCACAAUCCUGUGUCAGAGCAUCACUUGACUGAUUUCAUUAGCAACUUCCCAGGAGAAUCAGCUUACAAAAUACUUGUCCCAUUUUCCAUGCAGAUGUAACCCAUCUAUUUUACUGAAGAAAUGGGAAGAGCUGAAUGCUGAAUACACUGAAUGUCUGCA
rnacentral:lncRNA from 1 species